UGGUUCAAUCACUUUCUAAGUCACAUAGUGAGUUCCUUUGGGACACCUAUGAAACAGACUAUGACAGGACCCUUAAUGAUCUUAUCUAUUUGUUAAGAUCAACUUCCUUAAAACUUGAUGGACAUUGACAAUAGUGACACAGGAAAUCCCGGAAAGCAUUCUCUUCCCAAUGGAAAGGGAUCGGCCAUAGUCAACUCGGUUGACCAAAUGGUAAAGAGAAAAGCUAAGUCUGUGAUAGUCUCGUGUACCAUUAUCAAAGGGUCCAUAUGUUUAUAUUGCCAAAGGAAGGGGCAUUGGUUGCGAAGCUGCCAAAUUUACCUAAGGAUGUUAAAGUCAAUAAGUUUGACUCUACUUCAGGUAAAUUCCACUAUCUAACUCUGUUAAGUUUCUAUUCUGAGAUUCUUGAUACAUGAUGUGACUGGGUCACAUGGUGAUGUUUUAAGAAUCAAAGAAAAAGUGGAGAAACUUAAAGAAAGAAUAUGCUGAAUCUGAUGGCGUAGAUGGAUUUCUAUCGCAUAGUUUGAAGAUCGGAUUCUUGAGCUACUUCUUAGGAGUUAUGAGAUAUUGCUUAGGAAUAGAUAACAACAAGUUUUCAUAUGGAUUGUAAGGAUAAGUUUUUCCGCAAAGUUUUAAAAUAAAAGAAAAUUUUUUAUUUUAUUUAUUUUAAAAUAUCCUUACAAUGGCAUUUGAGGAAAAAUUGUUGCUUAUAUGAUUCCAUUAAGAGCAAGAGUGGAAAUAUGAAAUUGAUUCUUUCAUUUGUGGUAAUGUCUAGAUUUACCAAAUAAGGAAAGAUUCUCAUCACCCAAGUUUCAAUUGGACCGGAACUUGGAAUCAUGCAAGUUGUAUAGCAUGAUGAAUGAGAACUUUCAAGUAUUGGAAAAUUAAGACUAAUUACUUGUUCACAUGGAUGUGUGAGUCAAGUAAAGGACUAAGGGAUCGAGUACACAUUCUUGUGCACUGAUUAAGUCCACCACUAAAGAUCGAUAAGAAGAAUCAAAUAAGGCAGAAGGAUAAAAGUUUCUCAAAUCUGAAAAGAUGGGAGAGUACUUUAGUAUCAGUUUUGUGAUCAUCUUAAUGAUUAAGAAACCAUAUCAAAAUUAGUUCUCUAAGGAAAUCUUAGUGCAUUCUUAUGACUAAGAAGAGGAACUUGAAUUGUUGAAAUGGUUAAAUCAAGAAGAUGAGUCAUACUUCGUUCCAAUACAAGUCUUAGAGUCAUACUCCAAGAUUGUCAUUUGAGUGACAUGUCUUAAAGAAGGUUUAAAACACUUGUCAAAUGUAAGAGUAAAAGUUUUCUACUCUUGUACAUUUGAAAUUGGUAAGUUGUGAUGUUUUGGAUAAAACAAAGACCAACUUAGGCCAAUUGGGUAAAGUGUUUUUCUUGAUUAGAAUCCGCACUAUCUCUUGGAUGUUUGACAAGGGAGUCUUAUAUGUCAAGAGGACAGUGGGAGUCUUAAAGGUCUUGAAAGUCUCAAGAAAUAAUCAAGAAUAAAACCUAAAGUUCUUCACUAGCACACAACUUGAGGUUUAUAACCUAUCGUGUUGACAUAUCUGUGCCCAUUCCAGUUAAAGUUGGCUUUGCAUAUGAGUUCUUAGAGUUCUCAGUUUGUUGCAUAACAACUUGGAAGCAAUGGCAGGCCCUUGAGCUGCCAGGUGGCAAGAAGUUAAGAUUGAGUUCAAUCCAUAUGGUUUUGGAUUUGUCAUUAUCUUUGUCUUGUGAUUAUGGUUUGACAAAUUCAUAUGGGUAGGAACUCAUACACCAUAUAAAUCUAAGUGUCAUAAGGUUUCUCUCCGAUUCAUGAAAAUGAUGGUGAGGAAACGCUUUCACUAAGUAGAUUUUACGAAGAUAUCAAUUGUGUUAUUUGCAUUUUCAAAAGUCGUUAGUGGAGCGCGUGUGGUUAACCGGCACACUAACAUGGACUUGUGAGAAAUGGCAAAUGCCUAAGCAAUUGAGACCAUGAUUACGGUAUCCCUUUUCAUGGUUCUUGAAAUUGCUUAGACACACAGGUGAGCUAUCUACGGAAAGGGUGUAUGAAUCUAAAUUUCAGACUGUCCAGCUGAUUUCUGAGUACAUGUCAAAGCUAGUGGGAGCAUAAGUGUUAUGCUAAUAAUCAUCAUGUUAGUGGGAGCAUGAUAAUUAUGAUAAGUAUUGCAAGUUAGCAAUGUUAAUUAUAGAAAACAAAAGUUUCAAUUGGGAAAAAGUUGUUUUGCUAUAAUUAAGGGAGAGGAAAUUAUGCUUCAUCUCAAAUCUAUAAGCUUAGAUCGUGAGGUUUUAAUCAUUUAGUCAAGGAUAUAUAUGAAUUUCAUGUUGGAAUGGCUCAACAUAAGGAAAUUCUGUAUAUGGGUCCAUUAUUUGCGUUCUAAAAUUCGAUUAUGAUUACGGCAUCCCUUUUCAUAAUCUGAAUUAUGAGAACUUGGCAAAUUGAAAUGGAAAUAUUAUAGCAAAAGACUGGUUUAGUCUUUAUGUAAGACAUCAUGAAUCGUGUCCCAUAUGCUUCGGAUAUAGGAUCGAUUACAUGUGCUAUAUUCAUCCGUUCUAAAAUUUUCCAAAUGCCUGGGGCAUUAAGAAGGGAAAAGGUUUAGAACUGGAUAUGACUAAAAGGAUUAAACAAUUGUCGAGGACAAUCUAAGGUUUACCAAAGAUUGGUUACUCAAGGACAAUUGGAAGUAUAGUGAUAAUUCUGGAAGGACCAUAUUGACAUAAUCUGUAAGGAGGCAACUCUUGUUCAGAAGUGAUAGUCAAAAUGGAAUCUGGAAAUGUUUCAAAGUUAGAAUUUUCAAUCUGUGUAAGAUUAAGGAAACUUAAUGCAAGAAGGAUAUUUCCAAGGAGUUGAUCUCCUUUGGAAUACUCUGUAAUGAUUGUUGCCAAGUCUUUGUGACUUUGUGCAUAAUCAUUACAAGAGGAUCAAUGCAUAUAAGUUUAGAAUCUAACAGAUUUCAGUAAAUGGCAUGAAUUUGGAAUUCUUGCAUUUGCAGUAAGGAUUUGGGAGUGUGAAAAGAGAAUCAUUGAAGUUAUGUUCAAUUGAUCUAGUUCACAAAGUAAAGAUCAUAGACAAACAUAGUAUGCAUACUUGGUGUGUGGCAUGACUAGUGUUUAAGAAAACAUAGUGUACAUGCUUGGAGCAUGGGACAACUAUUGUUUUAAAUUCAAGAAUAAAGUUGAUAGCUGAAACAGUAUACAAUGAAUAAUGUGUAAUCAUAUGGUGAUAAAUAAAAGGUGUUUUAUUUAUGUUCAAAGGGUUGAUACCAUAUUGGAUUCAAUUAUUAUUGUGUUUCAUUUUGCAUGUUUUGACUUCCCGAAUAAACUGGGUUAUUCUUCCGGAAUGACUAAGUUAUUCAAACCAUCCACAGUCGGUCAUAUGUUGGAAGUAGAUAUGAAUUAAGACUGUCAUGGGUUGGCUUGUAGAGGUCUAAGGUGUUGGACAAAGGGCUACAACACUCAUGAGUGCUCAUAAGUUCUGAGUAUUGGAUUCAACCCGCGCUCAUUGGAAUCACUUCAUGGAUUUUAUCACGAGUGAUCAUGAGACGAUAAUAUCUUAUAUUCUUCAAACCUAGAGAUAUGAGUUGUUACUAUGAGUUGAUAGUACAUUGAUUGCACGAAAACGCAUUUGGUAACUCGGUGCUAUAAAACGUGCCUUUGUGUAUGAUUCAACAAGUAGUAGAACAAGCCAUAUGAGUCGAAGUUUAUCCAUUCCUUUUACCUUCGGGAUAAAAGCGAUAUCUGUGGGCCCCUCGAUGAUUUGAUGAUGACAAAUGGAAGUGCUCGGCCGGGCCAGGACUGAUUUGAUUUGUUCAAUUAGUCAGUCGUCAUAAAUCGGAAAUCGGGAAACAACAAAUGGACAGAGAGAAUGAUUAUAAUCCAUGUCUCAGUCCAUAUGAUAUCUAGAAUGGAGGAAUAUAUGAUCCCUUAUCUAAUGGACAAGUCAUUGACAAAGGUCAGAGUUCAUCUACAAGGUCAGAGUUCGACAGAAGCUUUUGAGAGCUACGAUUGCCAGUUGGUUCCUGAAGUCAUACGCAAUAAUAGUUUUAGACUUAUCCAAGUGGGAGACUGUUGGAUUAAUGUCUAAGUCCAUAACUAUAAUUGGUAAGACUUGACCCGACCCGGCAUGGUCCAUUUGGGUUGCAUACCAUCAUGCACUUGGAUAGACUAUAAUGAGAGAAAUAAGACACUUAUGGUUAUUAAUAUAUUAUAAGUUCUAGUAUAUUAAUAAUAAGAAUAAUAAGAUUAUUUAAUUAGUAUUGAUCAAGAAUUAAUCUAGGAUUAAUUAAGUGAUCAAAAGAAGACUAAUUAAAUAUAUGGGUUGAUUGUGUAAAUCAUCCAUACUUGUAUAGUGGGCUAAUGCUCCAUGGAUAAUCAAGUUGGGCUAAAACCCAUAGGAUGGUUCAUGGAUGCUCCAUGGUGUAUUUGUACCCAUGGAUCAUGGAAAUGAAAGGCCAUGUCAAUUAGGGUUUACAUGGUGUAAUCCUAACUAUAUAAGCAUCUUAUUCUUGACCAAAUCGGCCACUAGAUAUUGUAGUGAAAGGGCUAGCCGAUUUCAUGAGUUGUAGAAUUCUCUCAAGCUAUUCUAAGUGUUUUGGUGAUUGUGAUUCCACUUGAGGCUUUCACACUAUUGGGGCUAAGCUCUUAAAGCUUGAAGACAUCAAGCUACAUCAAAAGGUAUGUAUUCUAUCUUGUUACAUUCAUUGGUUAGUAUGCUAGAUUAGGAUAAUACCUUGGAAGUUCUUAUUUGCAUGUUUAAUAGAGAAAACAUAGAUCCAAGGUAUUUAGGGUUGCAUGUACACUUAGGAGUGUUAGAAUGCUCAAAACCCAACAAUUGUCUCAUCUACUUCACUAUCUAGGUAUGCCCAAACACACUCUAAUGGUUCAGACGAAGUUGAUUCUGGCAAGACUUCCUCAAUAACACAGUUGUUAGGAGGGUUUGGGUUCGGAUUUUGAACAACAUACUUUUGAGUGGUAGAGGUCCGAUUCAGGUGCAGGCUUAUCAGAGGUGGAAACUGCGUGGAAUCAGGACUCUUAACAACUAUGGUUUGAAACUCACGAAUUAGGGACGUAAAGUGGUAUGUGGUCUCAGGAAGGGGUGACAAGGGAGAAACAGGGGUGUCCGAAUUUUUGAUGUUUCGGAACCUCACCCAUAAAUGUCAAAAUUUGAAAUUCCUUCAAGGGACGAGCAAUUGGUUUCCGAAACUCGCUUCCGAGACUAGGAGCUUUUAACCACGGAUGACGAAAGUUAUGAGUCAUUUGUAGAUUUGAUUCAAGUAUAUCAAUAGAAUUAUGCAAAGCAUCUAUCUUAGCAUUGAGACGUUUCUUAUCAGAAAUCAUGAAAUUUCUUUUGGAAUAGGUGAUUUCACAUUUGUCUUUUAAAAUGAUACAUUCAUCGUUUGACAUUACAAUCUCAUGCUCUAUAGACUCGAUUUUUUACUUGUUAUCCUUAAAACGUAACCUAAGACGAUUUAAUUCACACUCCUUCUUCUCACUGGCUUCUAUGGCUGACUCAUAGGCUUUAUAGAUGGUGCUCAUAUCUGUUUGGAUAUGGGUUAGGUAAGGUUAACAAAUAGACAAAGCAAAGUUAUUUUCAUUAAUCAUAGAUUUUACCUACUGAACGAUGCUUCGACCAAGUGGAUCGUUCGUGGUCAUGUAGCAGUAGUGUGGUACAACAAUAUCAUCUUCAUCUUCAGACCCAUAGGACCAAUAUCCCUCAUCACAUCCAACAGUUGGUCUCGCCAUAAAUCACAUGUUCCUUCCAGUCACCAUGUCAUCAUCAUCUCCUGAUGACCAAUAUCCUUCUACAUCCCUUGAUAUAGUAGUUACAACAACUUUUUUCACUUUCUGCCAUCUCUUGAGAUCUUCGGUCGCAGUAUGUAGAGUCCUUGAUCUUUGGCUUUUGUGGAGUUUCAACCAAGCAAUCUUUUACAAAGUGGUUUGCAUGUCCACACUUGUGGCACACAAUUUUAGGCUUAUCUAUUUUGGAUUUUGUGGUGGUUCCGAAGUAGAGUUUGAUUUUGAGAUGUUCGGUUUGUAUGAGGGAGGAUUUUCCGAAGGUGGUUGAGAUUCUGGAGGAGAGUAGGGUUGAGGAUUAUUUUGGUGAGGAUCAUGGAAUCGAUUUUGGUAUGUUUUGAAAGAAGGAUUGAAGGGACGUUUGUAUUUCAUGGAGAAUAGAACAAAUUCUUGUUGGAAAUGGAAUUCAAAAUCUAUAGCUUCAGAGUCAUCAACAUGAUAUGUUUGUGUGGGUAAAACAGGUAAGGAAGAUUGAACUGAUGGAAUAGUGGGUUUGAAAGGAUCCGAGGUGGAAGAGUUUGGAAUGGUUGGUUCAUAGGAGCAGACAAAAGCAAGAGGACCUCCAGAGAGUUCCCUUAUGGUCUGAGAAACACUGGAUUUGUGUCCUUGAAGUUCAUCAAAAAGUUGAUAGAGCUUUAACUCUUUCAAGGAAGGAGCCAUUACUUUGAAGACAAGAUUUCACAUUUCCUCAUCCUUUAUCAAGGUUGUCAAUGAACUUGAGAUUGUACUCCAAGGGAGUUUGGACAAUCCCAUGCACAGUCAUGUUUCUGACAACUAUUCGGUAACGGUUAGAGGCUUAGGCCACUGAUUCACUAGGAGUGGUAGUGAAUGUGUCAAAUUCAUUGACAACCAAAUUGAGACGCUUGUCUUUCAUGUUUUCCGAACCUUCAAUAAGGUCUUGGAGAGUGUCCCAAAUCUCUUUUGCUGAUUUACACAACUUAAUGUGUUCAAAGAGCGAAGGAGGAACACCAAACACCAUUUCAGAGAAGGCGACUUGAUCAGUAUGCAACUUCUUAAUAUCAUCAGUUGUAGAGGAGUCAGACAAGUCUCAUCUUGACCAAUAAGCUGAGCAAUAGCAUCUCUUACAAAUUUUCUUACAGGAACAUGAGGGACUUCUUUGAUAGAUCUCCAAAUAGCUUCACAUUUCUCUUUGGCUAAUAAAAAUCUUUUUGUUCUAGCUUUCCAGUGGUCAUAUUCUUCCACAACUAGCAAUGGGGAAUGUGUAGGGCCACCCAUGCUAUUUGUGAUUUACAUUCAAUUCAUUUGUUGAGGAUUAGUAGCAGCCAUUGAAAUUGAGAUAUCUUUAAGAAAAAGUGGUAUAUAGAAUUACAUUUAUCCUUAACACAGAAAUGUUUGAAACACCAAGCUAAUGUCAAACCAGCUAUAAUCUGAUCUUCUGGAUUCAAAGGACAACCACUCAAGCUUUGAUACCAAUUGUGAGAACAAGAACGAUCUGAUGCGCAGGGACAAGGUUUGAAAACUCAAACCUUGAGCGAAUGCUUAAGAUCAAUGUAUGUUCGCCAAUAAAUGUUCUAGUCAAGUCUGGAUAGACCGGUCAAGUCUGAGAUAAAGUAUUCAACACAUGUUCAAGCCAUAAAUGUUGAAUGAGAAUAAAGAUCAAGGUAAAGAUAAUAAAUGAAGAACAAGAAGAAUGUUUGAGAGAAUACGAGCACAUGAAAAAUGAUACUAACCAAUUAAAAUCAAAGGACUGGAUAAAAGAGUUACAAUUAUCACUCUGAAUAUAUGAGUUUGAUAAAUAAUGCUAAGUCCUAUGACAGGUUAAAUCAAACAAAAGACAAAUUACAUUAAAUGCAUUAAGACAAAAUACUGAUUUCGGAACAAAAAACGUUCUAGAUAUAUUCAUCCAUUCCAGAAUGCCUUCACUCUCAAUCUCCACAUCACCAACAUAUCUUCAAGUCCGGACAUGAACUGAUUUCAUAACGAUCUUCACUUCGGACCACCAUCUGACUAUGGAAUUGACAUUUGGACUUAGGAUUGCUAGAGGUUCACUUUCAGGUUCCAAGAUGGACUCUGAUUGAGAAACCCUAAAUUUUUUAGGGUGUUGCACCUUAUUUAAACGCCUUAAGUUUCGUGGCUAGCCUCCUUACCAACCUUCUCUGUCCAGAAACCCUAAAAUCAAGCCUUAUCUUCCAUUGUUGAGUGUUAGAGCUUGUGGAGAGACUUGAAAGUUAAUUUUUGGUGCUUGUUGAAGGAUCUAUGGAAUUAGGAGUUGCUUGGCUUGAAGAAGAAGUCUUGGAUCCAAAAUCUCUGUAUUAUUUUCCAAGUAUCGGAGGCAUCAAGUUCUUACCUUGCAUAUUAGUUGGUUAGAUCUCUUCUUAGGUUAGAGUUUAUGCUUUUUAGCCAUAUAUGGGUCGAUGUUGGGGAUUAGGACGUCCCAAAUGAUUAUUCUUUCACAUCUAAGGUCUACAUGAGAUCUUUUGGCAUAAAGGUGUCGACUUUAUGGAUUUAAGGUCUUUAUGCAUUCAUUAAGUCUAUCAUUUAGCGCUUUUUAAGCUUUUGAGAUCCUCAUAGUCAUUCUUAAGUGUAAAGUUUGAAAAUUUGCAUGGCCAUCUAGCCUUAUGGGGUCAAAUCUUGAUUUUGGGGUUUUUUCUUUGAUGAUUAUGUGCUCAAUGAUUAAGCUCUCACUCUUUUAAGUGUAGGGUUUGAGUUUGGGCCCAUUUAGUUGGUUACUAGGGGUAAAGUUGGAAAAUUUACCCUUCUUGGUCUCAUUUUGGUCGAGAUCUGAGCUUUGGAGCUCUUGGAUUCGAUGAAGGUAUCUUAAUGAAUUAAGUUGUGGGUUCUUGGGAGAACUCAGCGAGUUAACUUGGUUUUUUCCGAUCUGUACAGUUGAUGGAGAAAUUCGAUUAGUUGAAGGACAACUCGGCGAUUUGGGUUAACUUAGACCGUUGACUUUGACUUUCGAUUUAUGUGUAUGAACAAGUUUGUAUCAAGAGGUACUUGAGGUAAUCUGAAAUGUAAUCAACAGAUUUAUGGGCUUAGGAUAAAGACCAUAUGGGUUUCGGCCCAAUUUGCAAAAUUAGGCAAUUAGUGGGGUUGUUUGGAUCUAGUAGUUGCUGGUACACUGGGCUUCAUUUGUUAACGGGCCAUCGGGAUACAAGGUGUUUGAAUUAGAAAGAAUGAUUCGACCUUAAGGCAAGGCCAUGUAUGGGUUUGGGCAUAGUUUGGAAAAUUGGGCCAUUAGUUGAUUAGCGGGCCUUUGGGUCUUUCAGAUUGUAGUUUGGGUCAUGGAUUUGGAUAAGGCCAGGUUAGGGAUAAAAUGGUCUUUUUACCCCUGGUAUGAUGUUGUGGUUAAGGAUUGGAACCCAAUUAUUAAUUGGGUGUUGUUUUGAUUUAGCAGUUUAGAGGUGUUGUUAGGGCAUCAGCUAAGGAUUUCUUUCAGUGAGUGUCUUCACUAUUCUACGGGUGGAAGGCACCAAUGCCGGCCCAAUUUGGUUUAUGUAUUUUAGGAAGACUCGGGGAUAAUGCGUGGUGGUUUUUAUGAAAGACCAGGAGGCGUCUCCUGGUGAACUGUAUGUAAGACCAGAGUCUGAACUCUAGCACUUAAUUAGUUAAGUAGUGUAGAUUGUAUGAUAUUUGUCUUUGUGAUGCUUGCAUGGAAGACCCCGGGGGAGCCCAUGACUAUUGGUCGUCAGACCAUGAGGGGAAAGCCCAUGGCAUUCCAGGUAAAGCCCAUGGGGGAACCCAUGACAUAAUACAUAGACACCCUAGGGGAGCCUAUGGCACCCAUAUGUAUUUGUGUGAUAAUCUAUGAUUAUAUGUGGUAUGUGGUAUUUGGGGAAGUCACUAUGCUUUGUGCUUAAAGUCUGUGGUUUAUGGUUUCAGGUACUUUCGGUUCGAUAAGGACGGGCCCAGCUUGAUCGCAGCGCAUCCACUCAUGUUUUCUGCAUUACGUGAUCUUAGGAAUGAACUCUGAUAAAUGUUUAGUAUUGAAAUAUUUUGGAACGUUUGGAAGAGAUUACUCUAAAGUUUUGAAUAUAAUCAAUAUAACAUUUUUGCCCUUGAUUUUGGGAUGUUACAAGUUUGUAUCAGAGCCUUGGUUUGAGGGAUUCAGGCACACUCUCGGGUGUGUUUGAACUCAAACUAAGGGUUUGGUGAAUUUUUUAAAAUAAACAUUUAAUUAACAGGCAAUUUCUAAUCAAAGAAAGGGGUGUCAUGCAUGCAAUCAUCCGAGCUCAAGUAACUGGUUCCCAAAAUAAAAAUACAUAUUUAUUAUGAUAUAUGCAAUGAUUAUGAGAAUUGCAUGCUAGAUUAGGGCUAAGGAUCUGCUCAGUAUUUCAUGAUAGGAGAGAUGUCUUUUAUAUGCCUGACUAUAUGAGCUUUAGUAUUAAAUGCUAGUAUGUGGAUCUGAUAAGUGGAUUGGAUGGCUUGAUUAGAGUAUGCUGGUUAGAUUUUCUGUUGCCUGAAUGUUGCUUUCCUUAUGCUUUGUGGGGCCCUUAGUGAUGUGAAUCAGCUGCUAAGUGAAUAUGUUAAGCCAUGUGUGGCACAGGUUAAAUAAUCUCAGAGUGACAGAUUCGACUAUAUUGCAUAGCUCUCGUCUGAGUCGAAUCAUUCUAAGGUUGACUCUUUUACUCGAAGGAUUAUCUUAUCUUUGUUUCAUGUGGCUAUAUUAAUGAGGAAACUAUUUGACAUUGGUGGGAGUCCUUAAGCAACUGAGGGUUGGGUGAGGUCGGUAACCUAGGAGAGCCUAGGAAACGCUUCAGUGGGUUUGGUAGUCCGGUUAGUGAGUUUUUGGUGCAUCAGUUGGAGAGGGUGAAUGAUGUAACAACCCGUUAUUUCAAGUCAAACUUAUUCAAAUAAAAGUAUAACUACAAUCAAAUACAAGUGAAAUCCAUAUCAUAGUAUUAAUACAAUAAGAACUUAAGUGCCUUAAGGGCAUGUUUAUAUAAGUUAUUAUGCAUACCUUGAUAAUGAUACUUAUAUACGUUAUAAUUAAAGUCAAGGAAAGUUAAACCAAAGUCAAAUAAAUAAAAAUAUUUGAUUUAAUAUAAGGGAAAUAACUUUAUUAUAUAUGAGUUUUUAAUCUUUAGAAUUUAGAAAUCUAUAACACUUGGCCGAAAACAUCAAAUAUGAAUCAAAUGCGAGCACUGAAAUAAGCUCCACAUAAAUCACCACCGAGAACUCUCGCAUGGUAACACCUCCUUGGACCGAAAACUGAUUUCAGUUAAGACCGAAACUAUGCGAAGCCAUGGUCCACUUCGGACCGCAAACAGCUUGACCGCAAACCCUUUCUCGGCCGAAAUCUCCAACUUUUAUCCCUUUGACACACUUUUCAAGAUGAUUUAAUCUCAAUUAACAAGUGACCACCUACCUUUUUACUUCAUAUUUAAAAUGUAUAAUAGAACCAUUCGUUUAUUUUAUUCACGGUGAACGAAAACAAUACCAAUCAAUCUAAAAUUCAAACGCCUUUUUCUCUCAAAAUUAAAGGUUAACAACUCCAAAAGAUGAUCUUCUUCCAAAUAGAUAAAAGUUUUGGUAAGUAACAUAUAUUAUUUGGUGUAGAUAUAACACUUUAUUAAUCAUUCAUUUCACUAAAUUUAAAAACAAUAUCGUGUGUAUAAUAUUAUUAGGAUACUUUUGAGAAAAUGUGUUUUAACCCGGGUAUCAUCACAACCACUUCAUAACCAACCAAGAACACACACCUGAGGUGAGUUCAUACCCUACAUUUUCAUGAUUUUUCACUACUUUAGGGGGGGAUACAAGUGUAACACAAGAAAUUUUGUGUUAAUAUCUAAUCGUUUUCAAUGUUUUUGUCAAUUGUUUUUGUUAUUAAAAUCACACACACACACACACACACACACACACAUAUAUAUAUAUAUAUAUAUAUAUAUAUAUAUAAUUUAUGUUUANGCUCUUGAAUUUCGUAAAAAAGCUGUCCAAGCUUCCAGAUAUGGAGCGGUUGUUGGCACACAUUUUUUCUUGUAGGUAAAAUGACAAACACCCUAGCUUGUUAAAUAUAUAUAUAUAUAUAUAUAUGUAUGUAUAUAUAUGUAUGUAUGUAUAUUGAACUAUUUGCUUACCAUUUGGGUAUAAACAUUAAUUUCACGGAACAACCGUAUCACGAAUUAUACGACUUAAACUUGUUGAGUUAUUAACAAUACAAAGGUUUUUGUUUGAGUAAAACAAAUACAUAUAAACUAUAAUACGUAUAUUUUAUGGAACAUACAUAUUACUUUUCAAAGUUCAUAAUACAAUACGGAAAACAAACAUAUAAAAUAUAAUAGGUAUAGACUAUGGAUCAUAUGCACUACUUUACAUAUUCAUAAUACAUUAUGGAAAAAAAUAUAAACUAUAAUAGGUAUAGUUUAUGAGAUAUACUUACAGUUUAUCCAAUACAAAAUAACUUUUCAUUAUUCUACACGUAACUAUCAAUAUAGCAUUUGUGAGACACACUUUACGUACUUGUCUAAGUAUCAACCAAGUCUUGAACUUAUAACUACAGUCUCCUGAAGGGAGAGCGUGUCACCUGUGUAUAGAUCUAUACGGGGAUGACACUCCUGGACCUUAACGGUUCACUAUAGUUAGGUCGGUAGGGCUGGGGUGACAAAUGUAGUACCGGUUGCAAUGCCUGAAGAACGUCGUGUUCAGGCCAUCUUAGGACAUCAAGCGUGGUUAUCAUAACUCACAAUUUGGUAUUAAGCAUUACGAUUAGUGUAUAAAUAAGUAAACGACUUCACAUAGUUUUAUUAAGUAAUAAAACUAUAAUAUAGUAUCUUACAGUACAGUUGGUGAAUCCAGGCACUUACAAUUACACGGUUUUUAUACAAGUACAAAUACAUAAUACUAUUCCAGUACCGAGAAAACAUACUAUUAAUGGUUUUAUAUGUGUUAAAACUACAUUAUACUAUCUCAUAGUACAAUAACAGUUACACGUUUUGGUCUUAGGGUAUUAAGACUACAACAUGAUUCCAACAGAAAAUAUAUGAUUUUCUGAGAAAACAUACUUACAUUUCAAGGAACAAAUCACAUAUUACAAUUACAAACAUGCUUCUAAACUCACCAACAUAAUUGUUGACACUCUUUUCAAAACUACUUUUAUUCUCAUGAAAUCACUAGACAGGUAUACAGAGGUUCUAAGAAGACGGAGCUUCAUAUACUCAUGUCUUUUAACUUUUGCUAUACAUUUUGGUGUCAAGUAUGCAUUAAUUUGAACACGAAUGUAAAACUAUACUUUAUUAAUGUAAUAGUUGUUGUACUUUGAUUACUAUUAUGCAAUUGUUGUGAUAUUGACAUGAAGUCAUCUACCCCCGAACGUUUCCACCCAUCCAGUUAGGGGGUGUGACAGUAUUGGUAUCAGAGCAUUGCUUAUAGUGAACUAAGUAUAUCAAACCACAAAAGAUAUACAAUUAUAAAUACAAUGGAGCUGAUGCGAUCUGACUAGAAGUAUACUUUUAUAAUCUAAGUAUUUCCUAAGAAGUAUACUAAAAUGCAUACAUACCAGAAACAAUAUCACAGUGAGAACUACAUAAACAUAUUUAGAUGUUGGACACUACAGUUAAACCUAGACAGUUAUGUAAUUAUAUUUGGGAUAAAUAUAUCCUGAUCAACUAUAUUUAUUUGAGGUAUGACUAACAUGUGUUUGGGAGUGAUCGUGGUGUUGCAACAAGCCUAAAACUUACCAAAUCUAUAUACCAGAAGAACUCUAGAACCAAACAUAAAGUUAAAAUACUAUAGGAGUAUUUUAUGACAUUUAGCACUGGAACAACAAUAUUCAAGAUGGUCUUUCUUACUAGGAUCAAUUAUGUGAAAACAAACAACUUAUACUGGUAGAUCUAUAAUUACUAAGUGUAUACAUAAGAGUUAUAUAUAAUUAAGCUUUUGUAGACUUAGAAUUUGUGACUUAGCUUUACUUCCUGUUCCUAGUUUGGUUGUGGAUUUAGAGUAGAACCACUUAAUCGAAGGUCUAUUUGGUCUUGAUUAUGUAUAAUUCGUAUACACUAAGUGAUUAUAGGAGGACCUGCUACGGAAUACAUUACACAAAUUCCUUACAAUAUAAAUGAAAUUAGUGAUCGUUGACUUAUAUUAGUAUACUUCUAUUAUAAAUCGAAAAAUAUAACACUACGAAAGUCAGGAUAUGUUACGUUUACAAGUAAAAUAUAUCAUGUUCAAUAUCACCUAACUUGUAACUACUAUAGAUGACUUAUCAUCAUUUCCUCUCUAAAAUUUAUAGAAAAUGAUGUUGCCACAUAAAUCAAAUAGGUUUUUCAACAACAAUCCACCAACUCCACCAUGACCACCACCUCCACAGUAUGAACCUGUUGUCUUCCAAGCAGCAGUAAUAGCCGUUGUGGUUGCCACCAUGACACAAAUUAUCGUCAGUGGUACUAGUGGAUCUAGUGGUGGUGCCCACAACUCUCAUCACGGGGAAAGUCUUGCACACCUAAACGAGUGUUCUUCUGACACUUCACGAACGCCAAACCCAAAUCCUUCGAUGGCACCAGAGGUGUCAUUGCUCUAACACGUUGGUUCGAGAAAAUCGAAUCAAUGUUUGAAAUCUGUGCGUUUCCUGAAGCUAGCAAAGUAAAAUUUGUAGCACACCUUCUUGGACAGAGCCCUCUCUUGGUGGAAUGGUUAUGCCAAGUUAUUGUCUCUCCCAUUAGCCAAUGCAAUGAACUGGGAAGACUUAAAACUUCUGAUCCUGGCAGAAUAUUAUCAUGGAGGUGAAAUACAAAAGUUAGAGUAGGAACUCUCGGGUCUGACGAUGAAGGACUCUGAUAUUGCUACUUAUACUACCAGAUUCAAUGAGCUGGCUCUUCUGUGUCCCGAGAUGGUCACCUUGGAGAGUAAGAAAGUAGAAAGGUACAUCUGGGGGUUAACUCCCCCGACUCAAGGAAACAUUAUAGCUACCAAUCCACUUACUUUCGAUAGUGCCAAACGUCUGGCAUAGGCACUCGUAAAUCAUGGAGUUGGUCAAGGCUCCAUGCCAGCCAUUUCUAAAAAACCCAAAGAAGGAGGCAACAAAAAGAAGUUCUGGAACAAACGAAAGGGGAAAUCAUUACAUGAACCUUCAAAGACACAACAAACUGUGGCGGUACAUGUUGCUACUGUUCCCGCUGUUAUCACUGUUACUAUUCCUGCCACUGUUACUGCUACUCCAGCACCCCCAAGUCGAUAUGUUGGAACUUUGCCAAAGUGUAAUAAGUGCAACUUCCAUCAUAUGAUAUUUUGCAAGGAAAUGCACUGCAAAAGCUACAACAAGAACGGGCAAACUGCCUGUUUCAGUAAAGCGCUAGCACAACCCAUCUCCCAAGUCCCCACCAUAGGAGUAAGUCAAGCUUGUUAUGGGUGUUGCGAAACCGGGAACUUCAAGAGAGACUUCCCGAAGACAAGGAAUGUUGGUGGGGUAGGAAGAAUUUUGGUAAUUGAUCACGAAGAAGCCAUGGUAGAUCCUACCGUGGUUAUCAGUACGUUUCUUCUCAAUAAUUCUUACGCAUGCAUUCUUUUUUAUAGUGGUGCAGCGAAAAGCUUCGCAAGCCAUAAAUUCAAACAUCUACUAAAAAAAAUCUCCAAUCACUAAAAGACACAUUUACCAUAGAGAUGGAAAACGGAAAGACCGAGAGCAAAAACGACAUAUACAUAGGAUGCACACUUACUCUAAACAACUAUUCCUUCAAAAUUGACCUUAUUACGGUGUCAAUUAAAAGAUUCGACAUUAUCAUCGACAUGGAUUGGUUAAGACUUCAAUUUUUUGAUAUCCUAUAUUAUGAAAAAUCCAUUCAUCUUAAUCUGCCAAGUAGUGAAUCCCUCGUUAUCUUUGGCGACAAACCCGAUUUGAACCUCCAAAUCGUUUCUUGCGUCAAGGCCAAGAAGUAUCUUCCCAAAGAUUAUAUUACCUUCUUAGCUCACGUGGUGGAUAAGACACAAGAAGUGAAAAACAUCAAGGAUAUCCCUGAAGAUUGUGAUUUCCCCGAUGUAAUCCCCGAAGAUCUCCCAGGAGUUCCUCCGGAACACCAAGUCGAAUUCUGAAUCGACUUGAUUCCCAGAGCUACCCCAGUAGCCAAAUCCCCGUACCAUUUAGCACCGUCAGAGAUGCAGGAACUAUCCAUCCUAAUGAACAAACUUCUAACCAAAGGAUUCAUAAGACCAAGCUUCUCGCCCUGGGGAGCACCGGUCCUAUUCAUGAAAAAGAAGGAUGGAUCGUUCCGAAUAUGGAUAGAUUACCGUGAACUAAACAAGCUUACCAUUAAGAACCAAUACCUUCUACUCCAAAUAGACACCCUCUUUGAUCAACUUCAUGGGGAAAUUUCUUCUCCAAGAUUGACUUGAGAUCAGGAUACCAUCAACUACGAGUCCAGGAGGACGAUAUUCCAAAGACCGCUUUUAGAACUUGCAAUGGUCACUAUGAAUUUGUAUUGAUGCCCUUUGGUGUAACGAAUGCGCCCACAGUAUUCAUGGACCAGAUGAACUAUGUGUGUCGAUCUUACUUAGCAAGUUCUUUAUAGUUUUCAUCGACAAUAUACUAGUCUAUUCCUGAAGUAAGGAAGAACACAGCCAACACUUACAAUAAGUCUUGCAAACCUUAAGGGCAGAGAAAUUGUAUGCAAAGUUCUUGAAGUGCGAAUUUUGGAUUCGAAAGGUGGACCUCGUAGGUCAUGUAGUCAGCAAGGAAGGGAUACAUCUUGAUCCCUCCAAGUUCAAAACUAUCGAUAACUGGGCGACCCCACGAACACUAACAGAUAUUCUGUAACAGCCUGAAAUCCAGGUUAGCUUUAUAACCCUUCUAUUUUGGAGAAUUGGCUAGUUAGUCCCUUAAAGUGAAAGAUGUAGUGAGUGAGUACGCUGGGCGUACUGGUUGUACGCCGUGCGUACUCGCGUGCUUAAUUUGUACGUGGGUCAUCCGGGUACGCUGGGCGUACCCAAGGUUACGCCGGGUGUAACCGGCGCAGAUGCAAAACCCUAAUUUUUCGCCUUGCUCUAUAAAAGGAACAUGUAGUCCUUUUCCCUAGCCACCAUAUACCCUUGAGAGAGAGCCCUUGGAGAGUUGAGAUUCGUGCAUUGGCUAGUGUGUGAGUUUUUGUGCUUGAAGUUGUCUUUUCAAGGUGAAGAAGGAGAAGAAGGAGCUAUUGUUGGAGCUAGAAGUUGCAGAACAAGUGUAGAUCCGAGUUCUACAGUGGUUGGAUAUCCUUCCUGAGGUAAAAAGCUCAGAGCUAUCCUUGUUCUUCCUAAGUUUUGCUUGUUGGAGACUUUAUGUGUAAAGAGUCUCCAUAAGCUUAAAUCUUACCUUUUCUAGUGUAAUAUGUGUUGAGGAGUCAUAAAAAUCAACUCUUGGAUGUGGAUCUUGUGGCAUGCAUGAGUUAUAGUCUCAUUAUGGAAAGAGGAAAGGUUUUUUGAGCACAAAGUAACCUUUACAGCCAUGCAAAGGCUUAAAGUUUCCAACUUUAUGGUUUAAGACAUAUUAGAGGGGUCAGAUCUGAAGCUUGGAUGCAAGUCUUAAGCGUUUAAGACCUGAAUGGGCUAAACAAGGAAAGUGGGCAUUACGUUGGGCGUAAUCCCAGUACGCGCCGCAGAAGGGGUUGCGUGCCCCGUUUCUGGAAUGCAAGAGUAUGCCCCGCGUACAGGAGCUGGUACGCCCCGCGUACUGCUUGCUGUUGACUUUGUUGACUUUUAGGGUUUUAGUCAACAUGUGUUCUAUUGGGUUAGGGAGGGGUAAAUUGGUCUUUUACCCUUCUGAGGAAUUUUAAAAGGAAUAUAUUAUAGCCUUGCGAGCCGUUAAUGAUUUAGAAUUAUUAUUUGAUGUGAUUAGGCGAGGCUAGGUUGAGGUUACAAGAUUCAGAAAUAUCAAGAACGUGAGACUUAGACAUCAUACGAGGUGAGUCUUCUCACUAUACUGUACCUGGAAGGGUACAUAUGUGUGACCGGAAGGUCUGGUAUGCUAUACGAUAUAUGCAUUGUAUGUUAAGUUGCCUGUUUUGUAUGCGUUAUGUAUGCUAUGCUUGAUAUGGGCCGGAAGGCAUUAUGAUAUGGGCCAGAAGGCAUUAUGAUGUAGACCGGAAUGUCAGGGAGUUAUGGACCGGAAGGUUGACAUGGGUAGGAUAGGAAGGUUUACCGGGUUGGGAUGGAAGUCCCCUGAGAUACAUGGACUGGAAGGUCAUGGCCUGGAAGGGCGUAUGUGUGUAAGUGGUAUAUUUGGGGAACUCACUAAGCAUUUAUACUGACAGUUGUUGUGUUAUGUGUUUCGAAUACUAGCGAGGACCGUUGGAAGGCGCCGACAUGACUCGUACACACACACGCAGGCGGAUUUUGAUAUAAUUGAUCUUGGGAUUUGAUAUGUUUUGUACUAUGAUUAUGAUACAUUGGAUUUUUAUGGUUUGGUUUGGAACAAUUUAUGUUUUUGAGAAAUGAAAAAUUGUUUUGAAAAAUUACGUUGUUACAAGUUGGUAUCAAAGCCUUGGUUUGAGGGACUCGGAUGCACCUUUGGGCGUAUCUGAACUCAAACUGAGGAUUUGAGAAUCCCCAGAAUACCCUUAGAUUAUGUGUUAUGUGAUGCUAUGUUAUGUUAUGCAUGCUAGAGUAGACUUGGUAUUCAUAUUAGGACUAGAGUGGCCUGAUUUGUGAUGUCUUAGCAUAGGAGAAUCCUGCUGCUAUGAGAUGCCUUGAGAGCGAGUAGGUAGCCAAUGCAUAGCGAGAGUAGAGUACUCAUGAUCCGGGAUCCAAGGAGGAGGAGUUGGGGUGAAUGUUGAUACAGUGUGGUCAGUAGUAUAGGGCUCGUACUACUGAAGACACCGGAUCAGUGAGCAGCCCAGGUUAGAAUCCUUUGGGUAUUGGAGGACGAGUAGGGUUGUGAUAUCGAGUGCGAGUAUACUCGAUCGAGUCUCUGAUUUUUAUGUCGUAUUUCUAAGGUAUCAUGGUUAGGACACAAUACACACCCUAGAGCAGUGGGGUCAAUGACGAGGAGAUCCGUCGAUUGAUUCAUGAGGAGGUGGCUGCUGCCAUCCGGGAUAUCAAGACCACACUGCUUGAGACCUUUGAUGAGUGGUAUGCAACAGUGAUUGAGGCUGCAGCUUCUGUAGCUACCGUAACUAUUGCGGCUGCCAGACCUCAGGGAGGUGACUCGUUGCUUCGGGAGUUCAGCAACACGAAGCCACCAGAGUUUGAUGGGACACAGGACCUGAUAGCGGCGAUGAGGUGGAUCUCUGACAUCGAGGGAUGUUUCUAUAUGUGUUCUUGUCCGGAACACUUGAGGGUUCGGUUCACUUUGAACCAGCUUCUCUUGGGAGCGAAGGAUUGGUGGAAGUUCGUGACGGCAAGCUUCACUCUGGCUGAUAUUUCUGAGGUGACCUUGGAAAGGUUCACCUCCAUGUUCAGGGAUGAGUAUGUUCCCCCGGUGGAGAGGGAAUGGUUGGUUCAGGAGUUCUUGACCCUCAAGCAGGUUAAUGAUUCGGUUAUUGUGGUCACCCAGAAGUUUCAUGAGAGGGCGAUGUUUUGCCCUGAGAAGGUGUCUACUGAGCAGGCACGGAUGAGCCGGUAUUUGGGCAUUUUGAGGAGGGACAUUUGAGAGUUCGUGUCGAAAUUGACAUACCGUACCUUUGCUGAGCUUCAGGCAAAUUCCUGGAAGCGGCAGAUCGAGUUAGAGACUCAGGCCAGGGAGGAGGCCGAGUCCCAGAGGAUGGAUCGGCGGCCGGCUCAGUCUCAGUCGGAAGCCAAGCGAGCCAAGCCCGCUGAUUCGAGGACUGGAGGUCAGAAGGGCCGCACUUGCGGGAAGUGCGACAAACGUCAUGAGGGAGCUUGUCGAUUGGGUGCUUGCUACAUACGUGGCAAGGAGGGCAUAUCGCCAAGGAUUUCCCUAAGGGAUUUAUGGUUUGCUUUCAUUGCAUCCAGACUAGCCAUCGGAAGGCCGAGUGUCCGCAGUUGCAUCAGCGGACAGCGUAGGGAUCUGCACCUGCUGCUAGGGUUACUGAGGUUCGAUCGGUGAAGGCUGAGGCUCCGAAUGCACGUGGGAGAGCUUUCCAGUUGACAGUGGAGGAGGUCGGCACAGCACCUGACGUUGUGGCCAAUAUGUAUUCUUCUCUCUACUUAUUUAAGUCUAAGAUAUUAUACUUAGAUUAUGUUAUGCGUAGGUACUUUUCUUGUGAAUUAUGUGCCGGCUUUAGUGUUAUUUGUCUCGGGAGCAAGUCGUUCUUUUGUAUCGUUAGCCUUUAGUCAUCAUAUCAGUAUUUGUCGAGAGGCCAUGAGUCGACCUCUGCGAGUUUCUAUAGGUAACAAGCGAGCAGUGUAUGCCACGUAUGUGAUUAGAGGAUGUAUCCUUGAGAUCUUCAGUGUGGAGUUCCCCAUAGAUCUGGUCCCGAUUGCGAUGGGAGACGUGUGUGUCAUAGUGGGCAAUGAUUGGUUGAGCCGAUUUGGAGUUGUUAUAGAUUGCGAGCGUCAGUUGGUGACAAUACGAGACCCGAGUGGGGGAGUACUUACGGUGUACGGUGAGGGUACCUGUCCUGAGUCAGCAUUUUGUUCGGCUGCUAGGGCGAGGUUGAGUUUAUAGCAGGGUUGUGUGGGAUUUUUGGCUUAUGUGAUGGACACACGAGUGGCCGAUGGGAGGCCAAAUUUGUUUGAUGAGGUCCGAAUUGUGUGGGAGUUCCCUGACGUUUUCCCUGAGGAUUUGCCAGGUGUGCCUCCCGAGAGGCAGGUGGAGUUUCGUAUCGACUUGGUGCCCGGGGCGGCAACUGUUUCCAAGGCACCCUAUUGCCUUGCACCAUCCGAGAUGUAGGAGUCAUCCUCGCAGCUUCAGGAGCUGUUUGGAAAGGGGUUUAUUAGACCAAGUAGCUCACCUUAGGGAGCGCUGAUCCUUUUUGUCAAGAAGAAGGAUGGUUCACACCGGAUAUGUAUUGAUUACCGGGAGUUGAACAAGUUGACAGUCAAGAACCGUUAUCCGUUGCCGAGGAUCGAUAAUUUAUUCGAUCAAUUGCAGGGAACGUCUUGGUUGUCCAAGAUAGACUUGAGGUCGGGUUAUCAUCAAAUGAGGGUUCGGGAUGAAGAUAUCCAGAAGACAGAGUUCAGAACUCGUUAUGGGCAUUAUGAGUUCGUGGUGAUGCCAUUUGGGCUCACCAAUGCACCUACCGUGUUCAAGGAUCUCAUGAACAGGGUGUGCAGACCGAUGUUGGAUCGAUCAGUGAUUGUUUUCAUCGAUGAUAUAUUGGUAUAUUCAAAAUCCAGAGAGCAGCGUGAGGAGCAUUUGAGGGAAAUCCUCGGAGUUCUGAGAUCGGAGAGGCUUUACGCCAAAUUCUCCAAGUGUGAUUUUUGGUUACGGGAGGUCCAGUUCCUGGGGCAUCUUGUCAACCAGCGACGGAUAUUGGUUGAUCCAGCCAAGAUUGAGGUUGUGAUGAGUUGGGAAGUGUCGAGGUCACCUUCUAAGAUUAGGAGUUUCUUAGGAUUGGCAGGCUACUAUCGGAGGUUUAUCAGGGAUUUCUCCAAGAUCGUCGUGCCACUCACCAAGUUGACCUGGAAGGGUGUUGCAUUUUCUUGGGGUCUGGAGCAGCAGACCUCGUUAGAGACACUUCGCCAGAAAUUAUGCGAAGCCCCAGUGUUAGCCCUUCCGGAAGGGAUGGAGGAUUUCGUGGUAUAUUGUGAUGUAUCGAUAUCCGGAUUGGGGGCGGUGCUUAUGUAGAGGGGGCAUAUGAUAGCAUAUGCAUCGAGGCAGCUUAAGCCUCAUGAGUCGAGGUAUCCCACUCAUGAUCUGGAAUUGGGAGCGGUAGUGUUCGCCCUCAAGAUUUGGCGUCACUAUUUGUAUGGGGUUCGGUGGACGAUAUACACAGACCAUAAGAGCUUGAAGUAUUUGAUGGAUCAGCCCAACCUAAAUAUACGCCAGAGGAGAUGGUUGGAUGUAGUAAAGGAUUAUGAUUGUGAGAUCCUGUACCACCCAGGCAAGGCUAAUAUGUUAGCCGAUGCCCUGAGUCGUAGGGUAGAGGGCGCCCUAAUUCAAGAUAUUUGCAUGAGAUUGACAGUGAUGACUCUGGUAUGGGACGCCAUCCGAGGGGCCAAGGCGGAGGCCGUGAGACCGGAGAACCGGAAGAGAGAGAGCGAGUGAUCGAGCAGGUAUAAGAGUUUUUUACCGAUAGUCGAGGACUUAUAACCUUCCAGGGUCGGGUUUGGGUACCGUUUGUGGGCAGAACGUGUACCGUCUUGAUGGAGGAGGCGCAUAAAUCGAAGUUCUCGAUCCAUCCCAGGGCCACUAAGAUGUUUUUGGACCUGAAGAAGGAGUAUUGGUGGCCCUGUAUAAAGAGGGAUGUUGCAUGGUUCGUGGAGAGGUGCUUGACCUAUCGCAAGGUUAAGGCCGAGCACCAAUGCCUGCAUGGUAAGUUAAAGCCGUUAGAGAUUCCCGAUUGGAAGUGGGAAAAGAUCACCAUGGAUUUUAUCACCAAAUUGCCGAGGACUGCUAGGGGUGUCGAUGCGAUUUGGGUGAUCGUGGACCGGUUGACGAAAAGCGCUCACUUCCUUGCUAUCAGUGAGAGGUCUUCUGCUAAAAAGUUAGCAGAGUUAUACGUGAGGGAGGUGGUAUCGCGGCAUGGAGUUCCGACCUCGAUUGUUUAAGACCGAGAUGUGCUUUUUACUUCCAGAUUUUGGAAGAAGUUUCAUGAGGAGUUGGGUACGAGGCUGCAUUUCAGUACCGCAUAACACCCACAGACCGACGGGCAGAGCGAGCGGACGAUCCAAACGCUCGAGGACAUGCUUUGGGCAUGUGUAUUGGAUUUCGGCGGAAGUUGGGACACGUAUUUGGCCUCGGCUGAGUUUUCCUAUAACAACAGCUAUCACUCGAGCAUUGGUAUGCCACCUUUUGAGUUGUUGUAUGGGAGGAGGUGUCGUACCCCAAUUUGCUGGGGCGAGGUAGAGCAGCGUGUGAUGGGUAGUACAGAGGUACUGCUUUAGACAAUAGACUAGGUACAACAGGUCCGGCAAAGGUUAUUGACCGCUCAGAGUCGCCAUAGGAGUUACGUGUCUAGGCGAAGGUCCGAACUCGAAUUUCAGGUCGGCGAUUUCGUGCUCCUGAAGGUAUCUCCGUGGAAAGGAGUGAUCCGAUUCAGGAAGAGGGGCAAGUUAGGACCCCGGUAUACUGGAUCGUUUAGAGUGAUCGCGAGGGUGGGCAAGGUAGCAUAUCGCUUGGAGCUACCUACGGAGUUGGACGAGAUUCAUGAUACCUUCCAUGUGUCGCAGCUGAGGAAGUGUAUCGCUGACGAGUCGGAAAUAGUGUCGUUAGAGGAUAUCCAGGUGGACGCGAGUCUGAAUUAUGCUGAGAAGCCAAUCACAAUCUUGGAUCGGAGGAUCAAGGUUCUGAGGAACAAGGAAGUGCCCCUGGUACAGGUCCAGUGGCAACAUCAGAAAGGGUCCGAGCUGACCUGGGAGCCAGACUCGGAGAUGCGGGAGCAGCAUCGGGAGUUGUUCACAGCAUGAGACUUCGAGGGUGAAGUCUGGUUCUUGAGGGGGAGAAUUGUAAUAGCCCGAAAUACAUGUUAACUUUAUAAACCUUCUAUUUUGGAGAAUUGGCUAGUUAGUCCCUUAAAGUAAAAGAUGUAGUGAGUGAGUACGCUGGGCGCACUGGGUGUACGCCACGCAUACUCGCGCGCUUAAUUUGUACGCGGGUCAUCCGGGUACACUGGGCGUACCCAAGGUUACGUCGGGCGUAACUGGCCCAGAUGCAAAACCCUAAUUUUUAGCCUUGCUCUAUAAAAGGAACAUGUAGUCCUUUGCCCUAGCCACCAUACACCUUUGAGAUAGAGCCCUUGAAGAGCUGAGAUUCGUGCUUUAGCUGGUGCGUGAGUUUUUGAGCUUGAAGUUGUCUUUUCAAGGUGAAGAAGGAGAAGAAAAACCAUUGUUGGAGCUAGAAGUUGAAGAACAAGUGUAGAUCCGAGUUCUAUAGUGGUUGGAGAUCCUUCCUGAGGUAAAAAGCUCAGGGCUUUCCUUGUUCUUCAUAAGUUUUGCUAGUUGGACCAUUUUUUGGGUUUUGGUUCAAAGUUGGAGACUUUAUGUGUAUCGAGUCUCCAUAAGCUUAAAUCUGACCUUUUCUAGUGUAAUGUGUGUUGAGGAGUAAUAAAAAUCAACUCUUGGAUGUGGAUCUUGUGGCAUGCAUGAGUUAUAGUCUCAUUAUGGAAAGAGGAAAGGUGUUUUGAGCACAAAGUGACCUUUAUAGCCACGAAAAGGCUUAAAGUUUCCAACUUUAUGGUUUAAGACAUAUUAGAGGGGUCAGAUCUGAAGUUUGGAUGCAAGUCUUAACCAUUUAAGACCUAAAUGGGCUGAACAAGGAAACUCGGCAUUACGUCGGGCGUAAUCCUAGUACGCGUCACGUAAAGGGUUGCGUACCCCGUUUCUGGAAUGCAAGAGUACGCCCCGCGUACAGGAGCUGGUACGCCCCGCGUACUGCUUGCUGUUGACUUUGUUGACUUUUAGGGUUUUAGUCAACAUGUGGUCUAUUGGGUCAGGGAGGGGUAAAAUGGUAUUUUACCCUUCUGAGGAAUUUUAGAAGGAAUAUAGUAUAGCCUUGCGAUCCGUUAAUGAUUUAGAAUGAUUAUUUGAUGUGAUUAGGCGAGGCUAGGUCGAGGUUACGAGAUUCAGAAAUACCGAGCACGUGAGACUUAGACAUCAUACGAGGUGAGUCUUCUCACUAUACUAUACCUGGAAGGGUACCUAUGUGUGACCGGAAGGUCUGGUUUGCUAUACGAUAUAUACAUUGUAUGUUAAGUUGCCUGUUUUGUAUGCGUUAUUUAUGCUAUGCUUGAUAUGGGCUAGAAGGCAUUAUGAUAUGGGCCGGAAGGCAUUAUGAUGUAGACCCGAAGGUCAGGGAAUUAUGGACCGGAAGGUCGACAUGGAUAGGACCGGAAGGUUUACUAAGUUGGGACGGAAGUCCCUUGAGACACAUGGACCGGAAGGUCAUGGCCUGGAAGGGCGUAUGUGUGUAAGUGGUACAUUUGGGGAACUCGCUAUGAAUUUAUGCUUACAGUUGUUGUGUCAUGUGUUUCAGGUACUAGCGAGGACCGUGGGAAGGCGCCGUCAUGACUCGUACACACAUGCAGGUGGAUUUGGAUAUAAUUGAUCUUGGGAUUUGAUACCUUUUGUACUAUGAUUAUGAUACAUUUUAUUUUUAUGGUUUGGUUUGGAACAAUUUAAGUUUUUAAGAAAUGAAAAUUUGUUUUGAAAAAUUACGUUGUUACAGAUUCGUCAAUUUCUAGGUCUCGCUGGCUAUUAAGGAAGGUUCAUCCAAAACUUCUCAGAAAUUGAAAAACUCCUCACCACAUUGACCCAGAAUGGUGUAACCUUCGGCUACGAGGAGAAAUAAGAAACUGCUUUCCAGACACUAAAGUGAGCCCUCUGUAGCGCCCCAAUCUUGUCACUCCCAGAACAGACGAAAGAUUUUGUAGUUUACUGCGAUGCAUCCAAGCAAGGGUUAGGAUGCGUUCUUAUGCAGCAAGGAAAGGUCAUCUCCAACGCCUCAAUACAACUUAAGAACCACGAGGUUAAUUAUACUACACAUGACCUUGAAUUGGGAGCAGUGGUUUUUCGCUCUGAAGAUCUAGAAGAAUUACCUUUAUGGUACAAAAUGCACAGUCUAUAGAGACCACAAUAGCCUCCAACACGUAUUCGAUCAGAAGGAAAUUAAAAUGAGAUAGCACGAUGGGUGGAACUACUCAAUGAUUACGAAUGCGAGAUUCGUUAUCAUCCUGUAAAAGACUAUGUAGUAGCAGAUGCCCUUAGUUGAAAAUAGUAAUCGGGCCGCCGAGUGAAGUGUCUAACUAUGACAAUCCAUUCACACCUGUUUGCUCAGAUCAAAGGAGCUCAUUUGGACGCCUUGAAACCCGAAAAAGUGAUAGGUGAAGCCUUCAGAGGGAUGGAAAAGAACUUAGAAAUCAAGGGUGACAGAGUUCGUUAUCUCAUGGAUCGGAUUUGGAGACUGUAGUUUGGUGGCUAUAGAGAUGUUGUCAUGAAUUAAGCCCAUAACACUCAAUACUCUGUUCAUCCAGGUUCAGACAAGAUGUAUCUGGACCUCAGGAAACUCUAUUGGUGGCUGAACAUGAAAGCUAAAAUUGCUACCUACGUAGGCAAGUGUCUGACUUGUGCCAAAGUCAAUGUAGAAUAUUUGAAGCCCUCGGUUUUAUUACAACCACCAGAAAUGCCCGAGUGGAAGUGGGAGCAGAUAACUAUGGAUUUCAUAACCAAGUUACCCAGGAUAAUGGGUGGUCAUGACAUCAUUUGGGUGAUCGUCGACAGAUUAACCAAACUCGCACACUUCCUGGAAAUAAAAGAAACUGAAAAAAUGGAGAAGUUAAGAAGGACAUACAAUAAAGAGAUAGUAGAUUUACCUCGCGCUUUUGGAAAUCACUGUAAAAGUCCAUGGCAACUAAUCUUGACAUGAGCACAGUGUACCAUCCUCAGACUGAUGGGCAAAGCGAGAGAACCAUUCAAACGCUGGAAGACAUGUUGAGGGCUUGGGUGAUAGAUUUCGGUAAAGCUUGGGAUUCCCAUUUACCACUCGUCGAAUUCUUGUAAAAAAUAGCUAUCACACGAGCAUCAAAGUUGCUCCUUUUGAAGCCCUCUAAGGUCGUAAGUGCAGAUCUCCUCAGUGUUGGGCUAAUGUGGGUGAUACACAACUAGGUAGGAAUCAAGUGCCUAACAAUACUUUAACUGGUCCCGAGAUUAUUCGAGAAACCACAAAAAAGAUUGUAGAAAUCUGGGAAUGACUGAAAGCUUCUACUAACAGAAAAAAGAGUUAUGCGGACAAACAACGAAAACCCUUGGAAUUCCAGGUUGGUGACCACAUCAUGUGAAAGGUCUCACCCUGGAAGAGAAUUAUAUGUUUUGGAAAACAUCGAAAAGUAAAUCCAAGGUACUCGAUCCAGUCGAGAUUCUUGCUAGAAUUGGUCCGGUUGCUUAUAAACUCAAUCUACCACAUGAACUCAGUAACAUUCAUCCCACUUUUCACGUAUCUAAUAUCAAGAAGUGUUUGUCUGACGAGACUCUUGUAAUCCCACUAAAAGAAAUUGAGUGAAAUAAGAGUCUAGACUUCGUAGAAGAACCAGUGAAGGUCAUGGGCAAGGAAGUCAAGAGAACAAAACAAACACGUCUACCAAUAGUAAAGGUUCGCUAGAAUGCCAAGUGGGGACCUGAAUUCAUUUAGGAACAACAAGAUCAAAUGAAAAAAAAGUAUCCACACAUUUUCCCUAGUUCAAGUAAAAGUCUAACUAGAAGCGUAUAUACAAAUGAAAUCCAUAUCAUAGUAUUAGUACAAUAAGGACUUGAGUGCCUUAAGGGCAUCUUUAUAUAAGUUAUUAUGCACACAUUCGUAAUCAUAUUUAUAUAAGUUAUAAAUACUUAUAUAUUGAAAACCAUGCAAGUAUAUACAAAUAUAAUUUAAUAUACAAGUCAAUAAAAGUCAAGGAAAGUUAAACCAAAGUCAAAUAAAUAAAAAUAUUUGAGUUAAUAUAAGGGAAAUAACUUUAUUAUUUAUGUGCUUUUAAUCUUUAGAAUUUAGAAAUCCAUAACACUUGGCCGAAAACCUCAAAUAUGAAUCAAAUGCGAGCACCUAAAUCAGUUACACCAAAAUCACCACCGAGAACUCUCGCAUGGUGCCAGCUCCUCGAACCGAAAACAGAUUUCGGUCAAGACCGAAAUCAUACGAAGCCAUGGUCCACUUCGGACCGCAAACCUUUCUCAGCCAAAAUCUCCAUCUUUUAUCCCUUUGACACACUUUUCGAUAUGAUUUAAUCUUAAUUACCAAGUGACCGCCUACCAUUUUACUUCAUAUUUAAAAUGCACAUUAGAACAAUUCCUUCUUUUUAUUCAUAAUGAACGAAAACAAUACAAAUCACUCUCGAAUUCAAACCCCUUUUCUCUCAAACUUAAACGUUAACAACUCCAAAAGAUCAUCUUCUUCCAAAUCAAUACAAAUUUUGGUAAGUAACAUAUAUUAUUUAUUGUUAAUAUAACACUAUAUUAAUCAUUCAUUUCACUAAUUUGAAAUACAAUAUCGUGUGUAUAAUAUUAUUAGGAUACAUUUGAUAAAACAUGUUUUAACCCGAGAAUCAUCACAACCACUUCAUAACCAACCAAGAACAUGCACCCGAGGUGAGUUCAUAGCCCUAUGCUUUNNNNNNNNNNNNNNNNNNNNNNNNNNNNNNNNNNNNNNNNNNNNNNNNNNNNNNNNNNNNNNNNNNNNNNNNNNNNNNNNNNNNNNNNNNNNNNNNNNNNNNNNNNNNNNNNNUAUAUAUAUAUAUUAUAAUUAAGGUUCAACAGGCUUAGAAUUGAUAAUUUUUGCUCCAUUUCCUGUUCCUUGUUUGGUUAUGUGCUUGGGGUAGAAUUAUUUAUUCGACUGUCUAUUCAUUCAUAAUUAUAUAAAUAUUGGUACCAUUUGGCUAUAAAUAUUGAAUUUCACGGAACAACCGUAUCACGAAUUUUACGACAUAAACUUGUUGAGUUAUUAACAAUACAAAGGUUUUCCUUUCAGUAGAACACAUUCAUAUAAACUAUAAUACAUAAAGUUUAUGGAACUUAUAUAUAUUACUUUUCAAUGUUCAGAAUACAACACGGAAAAGAAACAUAUAAACAAUAAUAGGUAUAGUCUAUGGAUCAUAUGCACUACUUUACAUAUUCAGAAUACAUUAUGGAAAACAAACAUAUAAACUAUAAUAGUUAAAGUUUAUGAGAUAUACUUAAAGUUUAUCCAUUACAAAGUAACUUUUCAUUAUUCUACAUGUAACCAUCAAUAUUGCAUUUGUUAGACACACUUCACGUACUUAUCUAAGUACGAAUCACGUCUUGAAAUUAUAACUACAUUUUUAUGAAGGGAGAGCGUGACACUUGUGUAUAGAUCUAUAUGGGAAUGACACUCCUGCACCAUAACUGUUCGCUACAGUUAGGCCGGCAGAGCUGGGUGACAAAUGUCGUACCGAUUGUGACACCUGAAGAACAUCGUUUUCAGACCAUCUUAGGUCAUCAAGCGUGGUUAUCAUAACUCACAAUUUUGUAUUGAACAUUACGAUAGUUUAUGAAUAAGUAAAAAACUUCACAUUUUUUUAUUAAAUAAUAAAACUAUAAUACAUUAUCUUAUAGUAUAGCUGGUGAAUCUAGGCACUUACAAUUACAUGGUUUUUAUACAAGUACAAAUACAAAAUACUAUUCCAGUAAAGUGAAAACAUAUUCUUCAUGGUUUUAUAUCAGUUAAAACUACAUUAUACUAUCUCAGAGUACAAUAACAGUUACACGUUUUGGUCUUAGGGUAUUAAGACUACAACACGAUUACAACAGAAAAUGUAAUAAUUUUUGGAGAAAACAUACUAACAUUUCAAGGAACAAAUGAAAAUUACAAACACGCUUAUGAACUAAUCAACUUAAUUGUUGACACUCUUUUCAAAACUACUUGUAUUCUCAGGAAAUCAGUAAACAGGCAUCCACAGGUUUUGAGAAGACAGAGCUUCAUAGACUCAUGUCUUUUAACUUUUGCUAUACAUUUUGGUGUCAAGUAUACACCUCUUUGAAAGCGAAUGUAAAACUAUACUCUAUCAAUGUAAUGGUUGUUGUACUUUGAUUACUAUUAUGCAAUUGUUGUGAUACUGUACAUAAUGUCAUUCGACCCGAACGUUUCCGCAGUUCCGGUUUGGGGGUGUGACAAAUUAGAGGAUUCGAGAUGUUUCCUGAGGAAAGUGUGGAUAGGUGUGGAAGGUAGUAUUGGGCCCGUACUACUGAACGCACAAGAUCCAUUCUUGAAUCAAGGUGAGUCUUGGAGAAUCUAAGAAGCUUAUGGGAGGAGGAUUUUUUCAUAUGUUCUGAUCUUCGGCAUGUCGUAUUUCAGUUUGGGUGAUGAGAACUCAGGGAAGUGGUUCAGGUUCUAGCCCUGAUUCGGGUUCCGGCUCUGGUGCAGGUGUUGAGCUGAUUAGCGAGCAGGUGCGGGAGUUCAUCUCGUUAGAGAUUACUCGUGGUAUUUUGUAGAAAACUCCUAUGAUCCUUGGUUCAGUCAAGGAUGGUAUCCUUAGAAUUCAAUUUUGUAGCAGGGAUGGUGGAUAGUCUUCUAGGGGACUUUUGGUCCACGUUUAUAGAAGGGUUGUUGGGGGCUCAUCUGGAGCCCAAGGUUUGUACAACCCUAGAAUCCUUCAGAAAGGAGGAUCCUAUUGUUAGCUUUCUUCAUGUAGGAUCAGAGGUCAGUUAUGCAACAUGUCUUCAAGAGAGUCAACCACAUAAUUAGACUACCUUAGAGAUUUUGUGAGCCCUUCGCGAGGAGUUACCCGACAUCAUUGACCGUGUCACUUAUAGAUUGGUCUCGAGGUUCGAAGUUCGGGCAUCAGUGUUUCAGGCAGUUUAUGGGGUGGGCGGGGUAACCCAAGAGCAGGAGAUUGGUUUAGAUAGGAAGUUGGGGAAGAAGAAGCAGACUUCUAGUCCAGCUCUACAAUCUGAGCAGUUGGAAACUACCAUAUCUAGUGUCAGAUACCCGAGGGGUCGAUAUGGUAGCACGAGGGACGAAGGGAAACAUAAGGAUGUGCGCAUCAGGUCUAUGUGCGGCAGGCGCGGAUGGAAGGGUUACAACCGCCAAGAAUGCACAUUGGAAGUGGAGUUAUGCCAUCAUUUUCAUCAGCAUAGUCAUAUUAGGGAGAAUUGCCCCCGCUUAGUGGUUGGGGCAGCUCAGGUUUCAUCAUAGGUACUUCGUCAAGAAGAGGGAUUCGGGGUUACUUCAGUUAAUAUUGCUGGUAUGUUAUAUUUUUCCUUCUUUGGUUGUUAUUCGUGCUUUUCAAAGAUUGGAUUCCGUAUCAUUUUGGGUAAAUGUUAUCUUUUGUUUAUUUCUCAACUUAUGAUUGGGUUAUAUCUUCAAGAAAUGUUAUAUGUCAUUUGGAUGCCAUGAAUCAUUAGUGGUUUAGUGAAGGGUUGUUUCCCUUAUAACGGUUUGGAGUGUUCAGUGUUAUCGUGAUUUUUAGUCAAGAUCGGUUUCGAGGCGUUUUGUGGAAAGACUAUGGCCAGAGUUUAGUGAAUUGGUUAUUCGGUAUCGCAAGAAUUCAGGAGUUUUUGCAUUGGUUCGUAGAUUGGAUUUUAAGGAUACUGAUGGUAGUGGUCUGUUGUUGCGAUUUAGAUUUGUGCAUUCGUCCUUAGUGUUGGAUUAGUGUCUAAGUCGAUAACUAUAAUUGGUAUGUACUUGACCCAAGAGUAGCAUGGUCUAUUUGGGUUGCAUAUCAUCAAGACAAUUUGAUAAGAUGGACUUUUGAGAAGAAGUUAUUUAUGGUUUAUUAAUAUAUUAUAAGUUCUAAUAUAUUAAUAUGAAAUCAUAUUGUUUAAUUAGUAUUGAUCAAGAAUUAAUUUGUAAUUAAUUCUAUAAUAAAAAAGAGACCGAUUAAAUAUAAGGGGUUGAUUUGGUAAAUCAUUCAUUUUUAUAAAGUGGCCUUAUGAUCCAUAGUUCUUCAUGUUUGGCUAAACCCAUGGAUACUCCAUGGAGGUUUUAACCCAUGGAGCAUGAGGGAUAUGAAAAGUCAUUAGGUUUUACAUGGUGUAACCAUAGUUUGCCACACUAUAUAAGAACCCAUAUAGCUCAUGAAAUGGGCACUUAAGUGGAAUACUAGAGGCGUGCCAUCCCCAUUUUCACGGCCAGAAAAGACCAAUUUUGUUUAUGCUUUGUUUAAAAAUCAGAGUAACAUUUUAAAUAAAAGUGUUGCAGAAUUUGUCCCAAAACAAAAUAUGAUAAAGAUUUAUCAAAAGCAUUUCCAAAGAAAUGUAUUUCAUUAAAAGACUUGGGAUGUCAUGUUCGUUACAGAUCAAAAGCAUAAACAGUACAAUAUAAGCCUUACUACAUUAUUUCAUAUCUACAAGCCUUUAUCCGUAAUCUCUCAUCCAAAACAUCACAUCUAUGCUCAUUCGCCACUACAUGUAAUACAAGAAACUAAGUGGGUCAGGCUUGGGAGUCUGGUAAGCACAUAGGGUUUUCAACCCACAAUAAAUAAGUUUAUUAAUUCCAUCAAUCAACAAUAACUCGAUUACCCGUUCCCAUUAUCCUCACUUUACGUCCCUAAACACCUAUCAUAAGGGACCUAGCCUAAGGAUCGUCAUUGGGAUGGACACUACUACUAAGGGGAUUCCUCAGCAAUAAAUGUGCUAAAGGCAACCAUGUGGGGGAUGGAGUACACCGGUGAACACAUCGUUCACAAACACCUACAGGUUGCGAGCCUGCUAGUGUUCCACUCACUGUCUAGAAGAGUCCACGGUCGUCAUCCGUACUCCGCAAGAUGACAAAAUCAACAACAUCAACAUUGAGGACUCUCAUCAUUUUAUCACACAUCACCUAUUACAUCUACCAAUGUUUUAUCCCAACAUUUUUGUAGAUAUAAAAUACAUAUAUACAGUUUAAAUCAUUGAAAACAUGUAUAAAAAUGUUCAUCUAGCAUAGAUAGCAAGUAUUCAGAUAAUAUGCACACAUAACACGUAAUUUAUAUAAAAUAAUUCAUAUCUAUGUGUAAGCUGAAAGUAACUAUGCACUCACCUGAAAGUUGGUGACUCAGCACUCGGACAGCGCUUCGAUACUCUCAAAACAAUUUUCCUUCGAUAAAACCUAGUACCAAUACCACUAGGGUUUAAUCUAACGAUAACCGCGACAAAUUAAUAGUCUGAGUAUCAUUAUUAUUAUAUAAGCGUUAAAUAGCAAUCAAUAUAACUCAUAAUAAUAGCCCAAAUAAUUAUUUUAAGGGCCUAAUAACAUUACUAUAAUUAUUUGAAAGCUAUAUUAAAAAUUGCGUAAGCGUAGCUCACUUACAGCGGAUUUUAAAGAAAACCGGGCUUUGCUCGGAGCAGCGUUUCCGAAACCAAAAGACCCUUUUUCUCGGGACUCCGAGAGCCUCGGGGCUUCCUUCGGGUGCUAGGGGUUCACCUAGACUUUAGGGAGGGUUAAAACCCUUAGAGAGAGAAAGAAAUUUAGAGAGAGAAAGAAAUUGGUGUGAAAAAUUCGAAGACCCUCGCAGGUAUUUAUAGGCGUGAAGCCUCUCGGAUUAUGCUGGGCGUACCGAAGCUAUGUGGGGCAUAGUCUUCGGAUAAGAUCACCAGCUCGGACCAGCUGUCUCGCAACAUCGGAAAAGAUAAGGGCGAGGGUAUGUGGGGCGUACUAACUUCGGACGCGGGGCAUGUGCGAGGGGCUAUGAGGCGUAAUCCGAAGCGAGGCCUGAUCAACGAUGGACGGUCCGGAUGUUGCCACAUCAUCUCAGUUUCGCAAUUUUCCUUCUCGACUACUAAAAAUAACAACUUUCGCAUACGAGCUCCGUUUUUACGCUCUUUAUAUCCACGCGAAGGUGGGAGCCUACUCUACAACUUUUUUUAGACUUCUUUGGCUAAUUUUGACUUUUUUUUAAAAGUUACAUUAUUAACAUGCCGGGACAGGAUUGGUCUGUUAAAUUCUCAUAACUUGUUCAUCCGACGUCCGUUUUUUCCCUUCUUUUUCUCGUUAUGCUACACUUAACAACAUUUUCGAUUCUCGUAUAGGUCGUUUCGGCUAAAAACCACUCGAUCUAAUAUUCGAAUUUCGGGUUGGACACUGCUAAGCCGAAACUUCGAAAAAUCAUAACUUCCACAUACGAAGUCAGAUUUGGGUGUUCUUUUUAUGGACGCUCUCGGAUUUAUGUAUUCUACGACUUUUAUUUAGAUCGCUAAGGCUAACUCUCGCUCUAUCAUAAAUUCACUAUUUACGCUUCCCGGUAUCGUGUCGGUUCCGUCGUGAAACUUCAACGGGUCAUAACUUCUUCGUUAGUACUCGGAUUUCAGCGUUCUUUAUAUCCCUGGAACCCUUGUUUCGACCACUAAAACUCUAUAUAAAGUUAUUAGCCUUAUCUCACACUUUAAUUUUGAUGCUUAUUUUUAUUCUUUAUUAAUUAUACAUUUAUAAUUAAAUAAUAAGCACAUAAAUACACAUAAUUCACAUAAUACUCAAAUAUUUCAUCUUUAUUACUUCAAAAAGAGUUACAAUAGUUGAACUAGACUAUUACAUUGUCGAAAAUGCUUAGCCCUGAAACCCGGGUGUUACAAGAGGGCUAGCCAAUUUGUGUUUGCAAGGAAUCUCUUCUCAAGUUAUCCUUUGUUCUAGGUCUGUUGUGAUUCCAUUUGAGGCAUUCAUACUAUUGGUGCUAAUCUCUUGAAUGUCCAAGCAACAAGCUAUAAAGAAAAGUUAUGUUAUCUAACUUGUUUUAUUACCCCAAGUAUUAAUGUUUUGUAUGUUAGAUAGGGUAAAAAUUCUACUUUGCAUGUAUAAUAGAGAAAACAUAGAUCCAAGGUAUUUAUAGUUGCAUGUACACCUUAUGUGUGUUAGAAUGCUCAAAACCCAACAGUGCUAUGAGAGCCUAGGCUUGUUUUCAAUUAUACUUGAUGCUACUUGCAUGGAAAUGCUUUAAAAAUCAAAAAUCAACUUUUUGGACAGUGGACUCGCGCAAGUCCACUAGGGUACUUGCUAAGUCCAAGCAGAAUUCUGACCAACUCACCAAGUUUGUUCUUGCACUCAACGAGUUGGUGCUCCAGAGUGUAGAUUUUUGAGUUUUUUGGCUGGAAUUGUACUAGAAUCAUUACCCUAAGCUGUUUUUGAACUUAUAAACCUAUUUUUGAUGUGGUAAUGAUCAUUGUUAUCCAAUUUAAAAGAUAAUUGUGAAAGUUUCAUGAUUUGUAUUAUUUUAUAUGUCUAGGCUAACUACAUGAAAUUUGUUUGAUAUGAAUUGUCUUGUUCUUAUGAGUUUAAUUUAGAUCAUAGACAACAAUGUUUCAUUUUUGUAAUUUUCAAUAGUUGAUCUAAAUGUUUUGAUGAGUUCCAUAACUUGUCCUCAAGUUAUCGAUUUUCAAGAGUCUUCUCAUUUAAACCUAUAGUAAACUCAUAAGUUAUGGAUUCCAAAAGUUUUUUAAUAGUUUAAAACUUUCCCUCAAGUUUUGGAAUUUUUAAAUAUAAAAGUCUAACUUUUGAAACAUUUAGUUCCAAACCCUAGAAUUUCAAAAAAUAAAAUUCAAUCCUUAUACUAUUAUAAUAUUAUAGGUUUAAUAUUUUUAUAUAUGUAUAAGAGUAAAGUCAGUCUUACCAUUAGUAUGCCUCAUUCACGAAACCGGUCUAUAAGAGGGGUAUAAGAUUACUGCCUAUAAAAUGGUAGUUUAAUGGGUGUCCACUCUCACCCACCGCUUCCUUAAAUGGUGGAGGGACGUUAGCCGAACGGGUAGGAUUGCACUCUAAUUCUCCCUUCAUUAAAAGUAUAAUGAUAAAUAUAAAGUAACUAAACACUUAUAAAUUCCUAAAUCUUAGUUAGUUAGGAAAAUGUGAGCAUGGUGCUAGCCCAUGAAAUUGCACUUUGCACCUUGUUAAGUCGUUAGUGGAGUGUGUGUGGCUAACCGGCACACUAAUCUGGACUGCCAGUGCAUGGCAAAGGUUAGCUUGAUGUUAAUCAUAGAUCAAUGGAGUGUGUGUGGUUAGCCAACACAUUGAUUAGGUGCUUGUAACAUUGGGUGUACCAAGCUAAUUUGCAUGGUUAUUCACACCUUGUUGGUGAUCCUUGGCAUCCCAAUCACAAACUUGAAGGGCACAAUCGAGAUUUAAACAUGCCAUUGAAUUUUUCAAUGAAUCUCAAAGGAUCUAGGAGUUUCAACUCACAUAAAUCCUAAAAUUCUUUUUCUUCGUGAUGGAAAUUGGUAUAUCAUAAUUAUCUACCAUCAAAUAUUUUGUAGUUUGGAUUACGAUGUCCCUCUUCCAAAUUGUAAAAUAUUGUGUUGGGUCCUAGCCUUAAUAUUUCAUUUGGGUGUUACAUUAAGGACUAAAUGAACUAACUUGAAUUUAUCCCAUUGUAUAUGUCUAGUUCAGACAACUAUGCUCUGCCCAAAUCCUUUGGAACAAGCUUUCCUCUUGAAGAUGAUGUCCUGCGGUUGGAUCGUGGAUGUCAUACUUCACUUCCUUCACCUACUCCAAUAAUUCUCGCUAACCCACAAGGUCAAAGACUUGAAAAAUUCAAGGUCACUCAAGCCCUAAUUUCAUUAAAACAUCAAGAUGGAAGGCUUAUGUGUACUCACAUCUUGGAGAUGAAGUCACAUAUUGACAGGCCAAGAAUAUUGGGUGUCGUUGUCUCGAGGAAUUUGGCAGCUGACUGGGUGCUUCAAUCACUUCCUGAGUUAUAUAGUGAUUUCAUAAGGACUACUAUGUGACAAACCACGGCCUGACCCUUAUUGAUCUUACCUAUUUGGUUGUUGUUGCUGAAUCAGCAAUGAUUUGGCGCACUGGAAAAGCAAAUUUGAUUGGAAGAUCUACUCCCCAAACUUCCAUGGACAUUGACAAUGGAAACAUUGGAAGUCUAUAAAAGAUUUCUCUUUCCAAAGGAAAGAGAAACGCUAAGUCUGAGAUUAUCCCGUGUAGCAUUCCCAAAGAGUCUAUGUGUUUCUAUUGCCACAAAAAGGGAAUUGGUUGCGAAGCUGCCCUGACUACCUGAAAAAUCUGAGAAAAGGUAGCAUAGAAAAGUUUGACUGUGAUUCAGGUAAGUCUACUGUCUAAGUCUAUUAAAGUUCCUAAUUGUUGAUUCUUAAUACAUGAUGUGACAAGGUUGCAUUUUGAUGUUUUGUAGGAUCAUGCAAACAGAAGGAAGGUUAAAGGAAGAGUGUGUUGAAUCUGAUUGCGAAAAUGGAUUUCAAUCGCGUGGUUCGGUGACGGGAUUUUAGAGCCGUUGCUUAAGAGUUAUGACAGAUUGCUAAGAAAUAUGUUGUAACAUAGUUUUCAUUUGUAAUUGCAUUGUAAGGAAAAGUUUUUCCGCAUUUUUUUUUAAAUAAAUGAAAUUUUGUUUUAUUUUUAUUACAUCUCCUUUCAAUGGAAUUUGUGAAAAUUGAUAUUUGUAUUCUUCUAUGUUAGCAAUAUGAAUUUGAUUCUUUCGUUUGUGGUAGUGUCGGUUAUUUGCCAAAUAAGGAAGGAUUCUCAUCACCCAAGUUUCAAUUGGACAGAAACUCGGAAUCAUGCAAGUUGUAUUGCAUGAUGAAUGAGAAUUUCCAUCUUUGGUAAAUUAAGACUAAUUCCUUGUUCACAUGUAUAUGUGAGUCAAGUGAAGGACUAGGGAAUCAGGUACACUACAUGUGCGAUGGUCAAGAUCCACCACAAAGAUCGAUAAGACUAUUCGUCAUGAUUUACUAAAGUUUAGUAAACAUGGUUAUACUUACAGGUUUAAGCAUAAUUCUGAAACAUUGGAAAAGCUCCAAUUUAUGGUAGAACGAAUGAGAAUAAUCAAAUUAGGCAGAAAGUGUUGGAUUAAUGUCUAAGUCCAUAACUAUAAUUGGUAAGACUUGACCCGACCCGGCAUGGUCCAUUUGGGUUGCAUGGCAUCAUGCACUUGGAUAGACUAAAUGAGAGAAAUAAGACACUUAUGGUUAUUAAUAUAAUAUAAGUUCUAGUAUAUUAAUAAUAAGAAUAAUGAGAUUAUUUAAUUAGUAUUGAUUGAGAAUUAAUCUAGGAUUAAUUAAGUGAUCAAAAGAAGACAAAUUAAAUAUAUGGGUUGAUUGUGUAAAUCAUCCAUACUUGUAUAGUGGGCUAAUGCUCCAUGGAUUAUCUAGUUGGGCCAAAACCCAUAUGAUGCUCCAUGGAUGCUUCAUGGUAUAUUUGAACCCAUGGAUCCAAGGAAAUGGAAAGUCAUGACAAUUAGGGUUGCCCUAAUUGUAACACAAUAUAAAGAUAUUAUUCUUGGCAAACUCGGCACUAGUAUUAUUCUAGAGAGGGCUAGUCGAUUUUCAUGAAGUGUAAAAUUCUCUCAAGUUAAUCCAUGUGUAUUUGGUGUUGUGUGAACCAUUUGAGGUGUCACACUUGGGGCACUUGGCACUCAAGCUUCAUGAAGACUUUCUACACCAAAGAGGUAUGUAUUCUAUCUUGCUAUAGUUAUUGUUUUGUAUGCUAGAUUAGGAUAAUACCUUGGAAGUUCUUAUUUGCAUGUAUAAUAGAGAAAACAUAGAUCCAAGGUAUUUAGGGUUGCAUGUACACUUAGGAGUGUUAGAAUGCUCAAAACCCAACAGUGGUAUCAGAGCCUAGGCUUGUUUUCUCUUAUACUUGAUGCAAAUUGCUGAAAAAUGCUGAAAAACUCGAUUUUCUGGCUUUCUGGGCACUGGACUCGCUGAGUCCACUGAUGACCUCGCCGAGUCCAUGAGUAAAAUCAUCCUACUCGCCGAGUAGGAGCCCCAGACGGCAUAUAUUCGACGUUUUUGGCUAAAAAUGGACUAGGAACAUUACCCUAAGUUGUUUUUGAACUUAUAAACUUGUUUUUUAUGUGGUAAUGUUCAUGCUAAUCCAUUUUCAAAGAUAAUUGUCAAUAGAUUCAUGUUUUGUAUUAGUUUAAGGUUUAGACUAAUUACAUGAAAAAGUUUGAUUUCAAUUAUCUUGUUCUUAUGAGUUGCUUAGAUUAAUAGAAAAGUUAAUUGAAAUAGUUGUUUUCAAUCCAUUUUAAUCUAAGAGUUGAGUAUAAAAUGUUUUUGUGUAAAUUUUCCUCAAGUUACAUGAAAAGUCACAUUAAAGACUCAUAAAACUCAUAAAAGUUGGCAAUGGUUACAAAAUGAAGAGUCUUGUGUCAUUGAAUAAUUUUUUAUGACUCCAUAACUUGUCCUCAAGUUAUGGAAGUUCAAGAGUCACUUCAUUAAAGAAAAAUAUGUAACCAUAAUUAAAUCCAUAAGUUAUAAAAUAAAGAAAAAGUUAGUUCUUUUAUUAGUUUAAAGUCUUCCAUAACUUGUCCUCAAGUUAUGGAACUUGAAGAGUUUUUGGAUUAAAACUACUUUAAACACAUAAGUUAUGGAAUUAAUUAGUUUUGAAUAGUUUCAAAACUUGCCCUCAAGUUUUGGAAUUUGAAAAGUUUUCACUUAUGAAUACUUUAAUUCCAAGUUAGCCCUUAGAAUUUUAAAAGUUAAAAUUCAACCCUUAUACUUUAUAAUAUUAUAAGUUAAUAAUAUAUAUAUGUAUAAGAGUAAAGUCAGUCUUACCGCUAGUACGCCUCAUUCACGAAGCCGGUCUAUAAGGUGGGUAUAAGGUUGUUGCCUAUAAAAUGGCAACUUAAUGGGUGUCCACUCUCACCCACCGCUUGCUUGACUGGUGGAGGGUCGUUAGCCGAACGGGUUUGACAGGACUAGAAUUCUCCCUUCAUUAAAAGUAUUAAUGAUAAUACUAAGUAACUAAACUCUUAAUAAUACCCAAUCUUAGUUACUUAGGAAAAAUGUGAAUAAGGUGCUAAUCCAUGAAAUUACACUUUACACUUUGUUUAAGUCGUUAGUGGAGCGUGUGUGGUUAACCGGCACACUAACUUGGACUUAACAAGGUAGGUAAAGGGUGACUUAAUAUUUAUCAUAGUAUCGAUGGAGCGUGUGUGGUUAACCGGCACAUCGAUUGAGGGGUAAUUUAUUAAGGGUACCAAGUGAUUUGCAUGGUUACUUCACACCUUGUUUUGUGAUCCUCGGCAUCCCAGUCACAAAACCUGAAGGGCACACUCGAGAUUGAAACAUGCCUUUGAAAAGUUCAAUGAAUCUCAAAGAUCUAGGAGUUUCAAAACCAAUUAAAACCUAAUAAUACAUUUCGUUUAUCUUGGUGGAAAUUGGUGAAUCGUCAUUCACCUACCUUCAAAUAUUUUAUAGCUUGGAUUACGGCAUACCUCUUCUAAGUUAUAAAAUAGUUUGUUGGGUCCUAGCCUUAAUAUUUCAUAUUGGGUGUCAUAUUAAGGACUUUAAAUCAACUAUCUUGAAUAUCUCCCAAAAGAUGUCUGGUUUAGACACCUAUGAUCUUCCCAAAUCUCUUGAAACAAGGUUUCCUAAUGAAGAUGAUGUCCCAUGGAUAUCAUACUUCUUCACCUCUUCAAAUUAUUCUCCCUAACCCACAAGUUCUUGAAAAGUUUAAGGUCACUCAGGCCCUAUUGGCAAGGCAAGGUCUAGGUGUGGUCACAUCUUGGAGAUGUAGUCACAUAUUGACAAGCCGGGAGAGUUGGGUGUCAAAGUCUUGAGAAAGUUGGUGGUUCAACUACUUUCUAAGUCACAUAGUGAGUUCUUUUGGAACACCUAUGAAAAAGACUAUGACAAGACCCUUAAUGAUCUUAUCUAUUUGUUAAGAUCAACUUCCUAAAACUUUAUGGACAUUGACAAUGAUGACAUUGGAUAUCCAGUAAAGCAUUCUCUUCCCAAUGGAAAGGGAUCGGCUAUAGUCAACUCGGUUGACCAAAUGGUAAAGAGAAAAGCUAAGUCUGUGAUAGUCCUGUGUACCAUUAUCAAAGGGUCCAUAUGUUUGUAUUGCCAAAGAAAGGGCAUUGGUUGCGAAGCUGCCAAAUUUACCUAAGGAUGUUAAAGUCAAUAAGUUUGACUCUACUUCAGGUAAAAUCCACUAUCUAACUCUGUUAAGUUUCUAUUCUGAGAUUCUUGAUACAUGAUGUGACCGGGUCGCAUGGUGAUGGUUUAAGAAUCAAAGGAAAGUGAAGAAACUUAAAGGAAGAAUAUGCUGAAUCUGAUCGCAUAGAUGGAUUUCUAUCGCAUAGUUUGAAAAAUCGGAUUCUUGAGCUACUUCUUAGGAGUUAUGAGAUAUUGCUUAGGAAUAGAUAACAACAAGUUUUCAUAUGGAUUGUAAGGAUAGUUUUUCCGCAAAGUUUUAAAAUAAAAGGAAAUUUUUGAUUUUAUUUAUUUUAAAAUAUCCUUACAAUGGCAU
rnacentral:lncRNA from 1 species